rnacentral:misc_RNA from 1 species
UGUAACCGUUGAGGCUGUAAAAACCAACUUUUCAUCAGCGUCAAAUAGUUGCGGGAUUAGUUCUAGUAGAUAUAGUUAUUAUUAUAAUUAUAGUAUCCAAACAGUAGUUUUUUCCCUCUUUCGUUUUACGGAUAACGAUUAUUUUUUUCUCAAUUUUCCGUCGAUUGUUUUCGGUUUUUCCACGCAUCGUAAUUUUCUUUUUUCUGGUACAUCCUAUCCGCGGCACGAUUGCGAAAGGUUUCGACGAAACGCAGGAAGCGAAAAGAGAAAACGGGCAAAGUACCCCGCGGUACCGAAAUUUUCAAACAAAUCCAGCCAUCAUGUGCGGCCGUUACUCUUGUUGAGUUUUACGCCGAUCUGUCUGUUUUUUUUUUUUUUUUUUUUCUUUUUUUUUCUCGUUCUGUUUCCUCAAUUAUUUACAUCAAUUUUCGCGAAAGGGGAUGAAUUUCGCUAAACCGAUUUGACCCGAACAUUUGGACAAGCCGCCCGCGGGAGAAGACGAUCUUCAAAUCUUCCACACCUCUGCGGAGAGGUCGCGACUGAGGUUUCGGGAACGUUUGCCGAAACUUCCGAAUAAUCCAACGCCAAAAUGACUGUCAAUAGUGUGUUAAUCAGGAGUUUUCUACUCGCAUUUUUCAUCCUUGCGACCUUCAACGCCCUCGUUGAUACCGCCGUAGCUCAGAACGAUGACCUGGUAUUCGAUGCGGAACAGAAAAGCGAAGGCGAAGUCGUACCUCUGAUAGAAACCCAAGAGAAGUCUUCGCUGUUUCAUAGGAUCAAAAGAGGAUUUUUCGAUUUUUGGGAUACUCCAUCGGAGAACAAAGAAACUACUACCGAAUCUUACCCGCAACCCUCAACACCGCCCGAUGACCGGCAAGAGGGACGAGACGAAGAUCAACGCUACGAUGAUCUCGAUAAACCCAACAGUGACGUAGGUGAUCAACAGCAAACGGACGACUACUACGAUAAUGCAGAAAACAAUAAUGCUGAUAUUCCUACAACGUCGUUGGAGAGAAAAACUCGCGAGAGUGGCGAGGAUCUCGUCUCAGAGCACCCGAACUCCGUAGACGCCGGUGUCGGUGAUGACGAGGAUUUGGCAGGAUCCGGAGAUGCCGAAGGAAGUGCUUUCGAACCACCUGAUGAGAAAUUCUGGAUACAGACGAAACCGACAUUCGGACGUUUGGCUUACGUCUACCGCGCCGAUUUCACCAUCAACGAGCCCUUCAGGGUCGAUUACGUCGACCGCGACUCUGACGAGUUUAAGGAACUGAGUAGGCAGGUGACCACCGCGAUCAAUCGUCUGUACGCAGAAAAACAUCCGAAGUCGCAGGCCUACUCCAAUAUUCUCCACUACCAACCAAUUAGUUCUGACCCACUCGCGACGCGCGUCUCCGUCGACAUUGAGUCGGAACGAUCGGACGAGCCGAAACACCGUGCCAUCCUCGAGAAUCAACUGGCGCUUCACCGUCUGGGUGAUAUUCAAGCAACGCCUGAAAACUUAGUAUUCAGAAUAAUGAAAGACCGAUUUGCGACGCUAUGCGAUUAUGUUACGGAAUUCGAAUGUCGCACCGACUCGACAUGCGUGCCUCUCAGUGCAAGAUGCGACGGUUGGAACCAGUGUCCGGAUCGUUCGGACGAAGCUAAUUGUUCACCAGAUGAACUACCACCCACUACAUUACCGGACGUCACAACGAUCCCAGCAGAGCCGACUACUUGGGGAACUACUACUUGGAGAUCUACGCGCGUUUCGGAACCAUCAUCUCCAAGAACUUACAACGAAUAUCCGUCGGGAAAUACUCUAACCCCGCGCCCUCCAUAUGAAGAAUAUGACCCGGUCGGGCGGGAUAUUGAGUUCGACAGAUAUCCGAACGAACCUAGAAUCGGUCAGGGAAAUGAGUACGAAGAACCAGUUUCACCUGUGAUCCCCAGCUAUACUACGGAAACUGAAGCACCCGAUGAUUAUGAUAACUAUGGGACCGAUCAACCGAGAUGCAGAGGUGACACCUCCUUCGUUUGUAGAGAUGGAAGUCAAUGUCUUGCGGUUGUUCAGAAGUGCGAUGGGAUUCAGGACUGCGAUGACGGCAGCGACGAAGAGAAUUGUCCUCCACAAGUUUGCGAACCCGAUGAAUUCCCCUGCGACGUCUCAAGAUGCAUCAACAACAACCAGAAGUGUAAUUUCAUCCCAGAUUGUACAGACGGUAGCGACGAGCACGACUGCCCCGAACCACCACCUUGCACUUCAUUGGAAUGGAGAUGCAGCAGCGGACAAUGCAUUCCUAAAGACUCGUUGUGCGAUGGAAGGAGCGAUUGUUACGAUAGAUCCGAUGAAGUCAAUUGUCAAAUACCACCUGGCUUCGAGGACCAGGACUUUGACUGGUCGAUCGCAGAAGUAGAUAAUAACUUUGGAAACGCGAUUAAGACGCCGAUCAAGACAAACGAGGGUGAGGUAAGGGGAGAGGGUGAAAGCGCGGGAAUCGAGGUUGAAUUCGAUCCCCUACCGGGAUGGCCAUUUAAUCUCGGUUACUGUCCGCCCGGUCGUUGGCCCUGCAGAUCUGGCAAACAAUGCAUUCCUGCAUGGCAAAGAUGCGACAGGGAACCACACUGCGAUGACAUGUCCGAUGAGGACAGCUGUGAAUCGAGGACCUGUAAUCCUGAUCUGGAAUGGACUUGUCAUAACAAAAGGUGUAUCUCAAAAUUCCUGAAAUGCAACGGAUUGGACGACUGUGGAGAUCGAUCCGACGAACAGACGUGUCCAUGCACCAGGGCCCAGUUUAUGUGCAACAACGGAUAUUGCAUUCCGAAAGAACGACGAUGCGACAAAUACAACGAUUGCCAAGACAGGUCCGACGAGAUCGACUGUGCCAUACCUGCACGACCUUGCGAUAGGGGAGAAUACAUGUGCGACGAUAGGCAAUGUGUCAAAGACACGCUUGUCUGUGACGGUAAUCGAGAUUGUCGAGAUAACUCCGACGAACGUGAUUGUCCAGCGGAGGUAGUAUGCAACGCCGAUGAAUUCCGAUGCAACGACGGUACCUGUUUGAUCGGAAGCGCUCGUUGCAACGGAUCGCGAGAAUGUUCGACAGGUGAAGACGAAGCUCAGUGCGAUUUUGGAGUGCGAGAAUGCGAUCCACAGAGGGAAUUCCGCUGUAACAAUGGCCAGUGCAUCCUUCUUCGUAGGAAGUGCGAUGUCGUUCCCGACUGCUACGACGGCUCGGACGAAACCGACUGCGGAUUCUGCUCUCCGGACGAAUGGAAGUGCGAGAGCUCGGAAUGUAUACCGGAAAACCAGAGGUGCGACGGUGUUUCGAAUUGCGUCGAUGGCUCUGACGAAAAUGACUGUGCCUCCGAAUGUCCGGCUGGACUUUUCCGAUGUGACGACGGUCUGUGCCUGGAUGGUAACAAACAAUGCGAUGGUCAUCCGGACUGUCGCGACGAAUCCGACGAGAAGAAUUGCCGUACCUGCCGAGCCGGCGAAUGGGCUUGCGCCAACGGAGCUUGCAUAAGUAUACAAUUCAGAUGCGACGAUACGUUGGAUUGUCACGACGGAAGCGACGAACGCGAUUGCCCCCCAAGACCCACCACCGUUCCCCCGGGCUGCGAAGGUGACGAUUUUGAGUGCGGCGACGGCACCUGCAUCCCAAGAUCGGCCGUAUGCGACAGAAUUGCUGAUUGCGCGUCGGGAGCCGAUGAAAGAAACUGCCCGUCCACCGGCUGUGCGCGUGGGGAAUUCCAAUGCAGAAACAGAGCCUGCGUCAGCGAAGAAGCGAGAUGCAACAGGUACAACGACUGCGGCGAUUACUCAGAUGAGGAAAAUUGCGGCCCACCUCGUCCAGACCAAUGUCUACCAGGAGAAGACUGCGGAGAUCCCAAUACCGCCCGAUGUGCGGAGAACGAAUGGAGGUGCGAGAAUGGGCCGUGCAUUCCGACUAGCAAACGAUGCGACAACAAGGUCGACUGUCCUUUCGAUAACUCCGAUGAAUUGGACUGCGAAUCCUCAUCAGCGACUUGCUCGCCACAAGAAUGGAGAUGUGAAAAUGGUCCUUGCAUCCCGUCCAGCCAACGUUGCGACAACAAAAUCGAUUGCCCUCUCGAUGAUUCCGAUGAAUUAGACUGCGAAUUCUCAUCGUCGUCUUGCUCCCCGCAAGAAUGGAGGUGCGAAAAUGGACCGUGUAUUCCAUCGGAACUCAGGUGCAACGGACAAUACGACUGCCCAAAGGAUGACUCCGAUGAACUUGACUGUCCGAGACCCACAACCCCUGAUUAUACCUACCCUCCAGCAGAAGGAGCGCUAAAUCUCAAGACGUACCCACCGGACCAAGUGAUCAAAGAAAAACCGGCGACACAAGGUCGAGAGGUCGUUAUUCAGUGUCGAGAUGAAGGUCCUCUUCGCGCUAAAGUCCACUGGAUCCGCGAAGACGGCGCACCUUUGCCACCAGGAAGCUCAGAUAUAAAUGGCCGACUGGAAUUGCCCAAUAUCCAAUUACACCAAGGCGGCAAUUACGUGUGCGAAGCACUCGGGGUUCCACCAAAUACACCUGGACGAAGAGCUGUCGCACAUUUGACCGUCGAGAAAUAUGAAGCAAUACCCACCAGACCACCAAAUGCCUGUAAGUACGACGAAGCAACUUGCAGCAACGGUGACUGCAUCCCCAAAACUAAGGUUUGCGAUGGAAGGAUUGAUUGUACAGAUGGUAGCGAUGAAUCCAGAUGCAAUCCACAAGGUUGUGAACCUAAUGAAUUCCGGUGUUCAAACAAGCAAUGUGUGAGUAAAGUUUGGCGAUGUGAUGGGGAGAAUGACUGUGCCGAUGGUAGUGACGAAGAAAAUUGUGAACCAUCACCACCUGGAUCACUGUGCAAAUACAGCGAGUUCCAAUGCGCACGAAACGAUCAAUGCAUCUUGAAGAGCUUCCACUGCGACAUGGAGAGGGAUUGUAUCGACGGAAGUGACGAAGUGGGCUGCUCUGCCGUGUACAUCCAAACACCGCCCCCACCGAUGGUUGAAUUGGUUGUUGGAGAGACCUUCACGAUCACCUGUACCGCAGUUGGUGUACCAACACCCCAAGUUAACUGGCGUUUGAACUGGGGUCAUAUUCCAGCAAAAUGUACGACCACCUCAGUUAAUGGAGUUGGAACUCUGACCUGUCCUUCGAUAGCCAUUGAAGACCAGGGUGCAUACUCUUGCGAAGGAAUGAAUGGGCGCGGAUGGCAGUUUGCGAUCCCCGAUACCAUUCUUGUAGUGAAAGGCACCGGAAGUGUUUGUGCUAAGGGAACCUUCAACUCUUUGGCUCGUGUACCAGACGAGUGUAUUUCCUGUUUCUGCUUCGGCGUAGCUACCGAGUGUUCGAGCGCUGAUCUCUUCACCUACCAAAUUCCGGCACCCUUCGAUCAACACAAUGUUGUAUCAGUCGACAUUAAACCCGAUAUCAGGAUACGAGGUGCCCCCGUUGAGAAUACGCCGGAUAUACGUCCGAUCGGGCGCAACGGAGUUCAGGUAACCGACCGAUACGGUUCCAGACGUAGUUCAGACAGCGUACUCUACUUUGCGCUCCCUGAGAGCUAUCAUGGUAGCCAACUCAAAUCAUACGGAGGAGUUCUCAAGUACACUGUUCGAUACGAAGGCAGAGGAAGACCAAACUCUGCACCAGCAGUUAUACUCAGUGGAAACAAUUAUUUACUUGUACAUAAAGGUCGGGACAUUGAACCAGACUUUGAGACUGAAAAUACUGUACGCUUCUUCUUUGGAGAUUGGCUCCGUAAACAAGAUUGGGAUGAGGUGCCAGCUUCGCGAGAGGAGAUCAUGAUGGCUCUCGCCAACGUCGAUAACAUCCUGAUCAAAGUUGAAUAUGACGACGAACGAAUCAACGCUGCAAUCACAAAUAUCGUCAUGGACACUGCCGAUGUCAGGAACACAGAUCUGGGUGCUGCAUCGUUUGUUGAGGAAUGUCGCUGCCCAGCUGGAUACACUGGCCUGUCUUGUGAACACUGCGCAUCUGGAUAUCUAAGGCGAGAAAGUGGACCUUGGCUUGGCCAAUGUUACAAAGAUGAGGUGCCCUGCCAGCCUGGUUACUACGGCGAUCCGUCGAGGAACAUUCCAUGCCAGAUCUGUCCUUGCCCACUCACAACACCUUCCAAUCAAUUCGCUAGGACCUGUAGUAUGGGUUCUGAUGGUCAGCCUAUAUGCAAUUGUCCCCAAGGAUAUCUGGGACGCAGGUGUGAGCAAUGUGCUCCCGGCUACCAGGGCAAUCCUCUGAUCGCUGGAGACAGAUGCGUCAAGGUUGAUGACUGUGACGCUAAUGGAAGUAUCAGCCCACAGGCGGACCCUCUUACCGGACUCUGCCGAUGCAAGCAUUUCGCGACUGGUCGUACCUGCAAUAAAUGUAAGGCGAAUACAUUCAACUUGGCUGCAGCAAAUAAAUUUGGCUGUGUGAGUUGCUUCUGUAUGGGAAUCACUUCGAAAUGCACUUCCUCAAACUGGUACAGAAGUGAGAUUCGAGUAGCGUUCACCAGUUCGAUCCGCGACUUCUCUCUGAUUGAAUCGAAACCUGAUGCAACUCCGAUCGUAGAUGGCAUUCAUCUGAACACAAUAGAUCGAGAAAUCAGUUAUAAAUUGUUCCCGAACCGUGAAAACAAUGACGUAUAUUACUGGCAAUUACCCAGCAAUUUCUUAGGUGAUCAGCUCGCCUCAUAUGGUGGAAACCUUGUCUACACUGUCCGUUAUGUACCUUCACCAGGUGGUGGAAGGUCCAGAAAUAAUGCAGCAGAUGUUGAACUUAUCAGCUCCAAUGAUAUAAACCUUCUCUACUACUCCGGAAAACAACUUGAGCCAAAUACCGCAGAAACAUUCACAGUACCAUUGCUCGAAGAUCACUGGCAACGUAAUGAUGGAACAACUGCUGACAGGGAACAUCUUCUUAUGGCCUUAGCUGACAUUCAGGGCAUCCGUAUUAAGGCUACGUAUACCACACACACCGACGAAGCUGCACUCUCCCUGGUAUCUCUUGAUACUGCUGUGAGCACAAACACUGGAAACGCUCGUGCUGUCGAAGUUGAGGAGUGCAGUUGUCCAGCUGGAUAUAGAGGCUUGUCUUGUGAAGACUGUGAUGUUGGGUACACCAGAAGUGGCGCAGGUCUGUACCUCGGUACCUGUGAACCUUGCAGUUGCAAUGGACACUCUUCACAGUGUGAUGCAGAAACUGGAACUUGCGAGUACUGCCGUGAUCAUACGACUGGUGAAAAUUGCGAUGAAUGUGAGAACGGAUAUGAGGGCGAUGCGACUCAAGGAACACCUCAAGACUGUCAACCAAUCAACAACGUGAUUCCUGGAACUGAUUGCUCCUGCGAUCCGGCAGGAUCACGAGGGACUUAUUGCUACAAUGGCCAGUGUCAAUGCAAAACAAACGUUGAAGGUUCACAAUGUAACCGAUGUCGACCAUUUACCUUUGGACUUGCCUCCAGCAAUGUCGAUGGAUGUACCGAAUGUUAUUGUAGUGGCGUUACCCAGCAGUGUCACGAAAGUUCGCUCUAUAUCACCCAAAUACCAACGAUCAUUUACGACGACAACCACGGAUUCACUUUGACCGACCUUACUCGAAGAGAUGUGAUAACAAGAGGAUUUGAGAUAAACCCUGCUACAAAUCAGAUCAGCUACCGCUACCAAGAACCUCGAAGCCAAAGGCUCUUCUGGUCUCUGCCAUCUCCAAACAUUGGUAACCAAGUGAAGAGUUAUGGUGGCAAACUAACUCUUACUCAAGAAAUUAGGACACGUAGUGGAGCCACAUUACAAAAAGAUCAGGAUGUUCUUUUGAUCGGCAGUGGUAUAACUUUGUACUGGACUAAUCCUGAAGAGCUUCAACCUAACAUUCCACUGACAUACAGUGUUCCUCUGGUCGAAUCGUCAUGGACCCGAUUGACAACAGAAGGUCCUCGCAGUGCAUCUCGUGUAGAUCUUAUGACUGUACUGUCCGGAUUGGAAGCAAUCUUAGUACGAGCUACUCACAGCCAAGACAUGAUAGCAACCUACAUUAGUGACGUCAGCCUCGAUACAGCGGUACAACAUGUGGCAAGUGACAGGCGAGCCACACAAGUCGAAGCCUGCCGAUGCCCUACUGGUUAUUCAGGAACCUCUUGCGAAUUAUGCGCUCCUGGAUAUUACAGAGACGUCAGAGAUAAAUCCGUUAGUGUUUUGGGCUCCUGCAAUUCCUGCCCUUGUAAUGGAAAUGAACAGAAAUGUGAGGUUGGGCGAUCAGGUGACGUUGUGUGUCACUGCUUAGUGGGAUACACUGGAAGAUACUGUGAAGACUAUGAUGUUGCAACAACCACAAUCUCUACCGUCACUGAACCACCACCCCCACCACCACCCAGGAUUGUUGUUACUAUUCAGGAACCUUUGAUUCAAAUCGUCGAAGCUGGAAAUACGGUCACAUAUCAUUGUGGCGGACGAUCUGAAGACAGUGACACAGUCAGCAUUGAAUGGCAGAAAGAAGAUGGACAGCUUCCUCCUGGUCGAACCAUUCAAGAUACGAGCGGUCUUCUCAUCAUCAGGGAUGUAAGGGUGUCAGACAGUGGUGUUUACGUCUGCCAAGUCAGCGAUGGUUUCAACAUCGCCUACCAGAGAGCCACCCUUACUAUUGGACCCGCAUUACCAGUUCAGCCACGAGUUGUGAUAGUGCCACGUUACCUUGAAGUUGAAGAAGGAAGCCCUGUGGAAUUCCGUUGUGAUGUGACAGGUAAUCCGCUGCCCGAAGUAUCAUGGAUUCGUGUCUCGGGGCAAAUCAACCCUGAAGCAACAUUUGAGAACAAUAUCUGGAGACUACCUGCUGCAAGAAAAAGUGAUGAAGCUGAAUACAAGUGUAUCGCACGAAAUCGCGCUGGUAUCCACGAGGAACAUACCAUUCUCUACGUCACUGGCAAUCAACCACCACCUCCACCCCCACCCCCAGAACCAAUCAUCAACCCCUCCAACUGGGUCGGUGGAAUCGGAGAACCCAUCCGCCUGGCUUGUACUGGGCCAAGUGAUGCGCAAAUAACAUGGACCCGAUCUGGAAAUGCCCCACUACCAUCUUCAGCUACUCAUCAAGGCGGAAUUCUAAGCAUUCGUAAUCCUACACCUGCUGACUCCGGCAUCUACGUUUGCACAGUAAUCACCUUCCAAGGUGUGGUAACGAGCAGUAGCGCUAGAAUAUCGAUUCAAGGUGCAGGAGCAAGUCGGCCGGUUGUGAGGGUUGAACCAGAUAGACAAACCGUGUCCCAAGGAACUGUGGCCGAAGUCAGAUGUAUUGCCACAGGAGAACCUACUCCUCAGAUCACAUGGACCAAACGAGGGGAAUCGCUUGGAUCUCAUGUUCAGAUCAUAGGAAAUACGCUCAGGAUAGUCAACCCUCAAAUUUCAGAUCGAGGAAUCUACAUUUGCCAAGGUUCUAAUAGUGGAGGAAGUGGAGAGAGCAGUGCUAUGAUUGAAGUACAACGACGUGAGUCACCGGUAAUCGAGCUUUACCCCUCAAAGACGCAACAGAUUUCUGAAGGUGGUUCGGCUCUUAUCCAAUGCCGUGUCGUCGAAGGGCUUCCAACACCGGAGGUUACUUGGGCUCGGUACGAUGGACGACCUUUUGGCCCCAAUGUAGAGCAGCUUCCUGGAGGAGUUCUUCGAUUCAAUCAGAUAACACUAGAAGAUGGUGGAUCUUUCGUGUGUUCUGCAUCAAACCAGGUUGCCUCAACCACAGUAACCGCUGUCCUUGAAGUAAACUCACACCCACAGAUCACGAUCACGCCAUCCAACCGUGAACCCUUAAUAGUCAGACUGGGUGAAAGAGUUCGUCUUACCUGCAGUGCUACUGGGCGACCUAGCCCACAAGUCGGAUGGAGUAAACACAGGGCUGAACCAACCGUUUAUUCUGAAUCAGUCCCUGUAACGCGAGCAUUUGAUGCUGUCUUUGAGAUAAGCUCAGUGUCAUUCAAUGACGAAGGAACAUACGUCUGCACAGCAAGAAAUGACAUUGGGGUAGCUGAGGAACGGAUCCAUGUUGUUAUUGGUUCUAAUACCGUAGAUGAAAACGAGCCGGGAAACGGAUACGACUCGAAUCUUACUAAUACUGACCCGGGAGUCCGAAUUCCCGAUGAGAAUCUGAGAAUCCCUGAUGGUGGACGUGUAGAAAUGCGCUGCCGUGUUGUUGGGGAUGGUCGUGAAACCAUCUACCUAGAUUGGAAGAGGAGCGAUGGUAGAGCUUUACCCCCAGGCAGCGAUGUUCGUGAUGGCGUAUUGGUCAUUCCAGUGGUAACUAAGAACGAUGCUGGAGAAUACGUCUGUCAAGGCUCGAAUAGCUAUGGAGAUGUCAUAUUCAAGGCUCAAUCGCAUCUUGAAAUUACAUCUCCACCAAGGAUCGAGUUGGAUCCAGCACACCAAACUGUAAGACCAGGUGAUAGUCCAGCAAUAGUAUGCAGUGUCACAGGAGAACAACCAAUUGAAAUUCAAUGGGAUGCCAUCGACCGCCCACUGCCCUACACAGUAACUCAAUACCGUGGACGAUUACAGUUUAACGGAAUCACUUCCGCUGAUGCUGGCAGAUACCUAUGCAGAGCGACAAAUGCUGUUGGUACCGCAGAAGGAGUGGCUGAAGUUCUAGUCAAUGAACAAUCUCCAAUAAUCACUGACAAUCAACGUGAGGUGACCGCAUUUGUGGGCUCCUUAGUGACACUUGACUGUCCAGUAGACGGUCGUUUCAGGGUGGAGUGGAGUAGAGAAAGAGCAGAACUUCCAAGAAAUGCAUACAGACACGCUAAUGUCCUAAACUUAACCGAGGUCCAACCACAAGACAGUGGAACAUACAUCUGUAGAGUAACUGACCCGAAUGGAAGUUCGAGUAGUAGCUACUUCACUUUGAGGGUUGAACUUUACGGAGCACUCUGCAGUGAAACGGAAUUCCAAUGCCAAAGUACGGAAUGCAUUGAUAAGUUGUAUCUCUGCGACGGUACUGAUGACUGCAGAGAUGGGAGCGACGAGCAUCACUGCUUUAACGGAUACUCUCGUCAGUAUCUCCAUCACAAAAUCGCUCCUGCGUCAUCGGUAUCUCUCCGUAUUCGAGCAUCCCAGGAUCUGGUAAAUAUUGGAGACACCGUUGAUUUACAAUGCGAUGCCUCUGGAGGCCGGGACACACGCAUUCGAUGGGUCAGGCCGAAUCAUCCUGAACUUCCUCCCAACUCACUAAGCCGUGGAUCAAUUUUAAGAAUCUCAGAUGUUGCGAUAGGAGAUGGUGGUACUUAUCGGUGCGUAGCUGAUACUCCGGAAGGCACCUUUUCAAAGGAUUACGAUCUUCAAAUUGAAGGUGGAAAUAACGAUGCGCCAGCUGUCGAAACAAAAUCAGCACCCUAUGGUUCAGGCGUAGUAAUGGACUGUAGUGUUGAUCUCGAACCACCAGUCAGAUUCCAAUGGAACAAACUUGGAGGUCUUCUGCCGGCCAGCAGCCGAACAUAUGAUAACCAACUGCAGUUAAUGGAUGUGAAAGCUGAAGAUGCAGGCACGUACAUCUGCACAGCAACUAACGGUCAAACGAACGUCGAAGCACCACAGGUCCUCUUAGUUACUGGUGUUGUACCUAACUUUAGCCAGGCACCUGAAAGUUACAUGGCUUUCCCUCCUUUACCUGAUGCGUCUCUACGAUUCAAUAUUGAAGUUUCAUUCAAACCAGAAAACGAUGAUGGUGUUAUUCUAUACAACGGUCAAUCACGCCAGGAUGACGGUGAUUUCCUGGUUCUCUCCCUUGUGAGAGGGUAUCCCGAGUUUAGGUUUAAUGUAGGAUCUCGUCCAGCUAUCAUAAGAGCACAGAAGCCAAUUACUCUUGGAAAAUGGCACACAAUUACGCUUCACCGUAAUCGCAAAGAAGGAACAAUGCUGGUAGAUGGAGAAGGUCCCUACACGGGUAUAGCUGCAGGUAGAUUUGAAGCAUUGGAUUUGUUGGAACCGCUAUACGUCGGAGGAGUUCCCGAUUAUGGAGCAAUCAGUAGACAUGCCGGUGUAUCCUCUGGCUUUGUGGGAUGUAUCAGUAGGCUGGUGAUCGGAGAAAAUCAACUAGAUCUUAUCGCCGAUCAGUCAUUAAGUGUCGGAGUAACAACUUGUGAAACUUGCGCUGAAAAUCCAUGCAGUAACAAUGGUGCCUGCCAAGAGUCGGCAACGGAGCAAGGCUACACUUGCUUAUGUCCUGCGGGAUACAGUGGGAAACAUUGUAACAGCCUUGGACAAUCAUGUUACCAAGGUGCCUGCGGUGAAGGUAAAUGCGUCGACAAGGAGAACGGUUUCCUCUGUUACUGUCCUCUUGGUAAAUCCGGACCUAAUUGUGAAGUUGAUACGUCAGUUAAUCACCCAGCGUUCCAUGACAGGAAUGCAUUCUUGGCGUAUCAAACACCAAAAGCUGUGCGAAAGCUUAAACUAGCUAUGAAAUUUAAACCAUCGGACCCAGGCGACGGUAUCCUGAUGUACUGUUCCCAGAGUAAUGAAGGUGUGGGUGACUUCAUUGCUCUUAUAAUAAAAGACAGACAUGUGGAGCUCCGGUUUGACUCAGGCUCUGGAAUGGCAGUUGUCAGAUCAAACCACGUUAUCCAACCAGGGAUGUGGCUUCACGUAAGAGCAGCUAGAGAUUUCAAAGAAGGAAAAUUAUCUGUGAAUGGAGAGCCGCAAGUCGAAGGAAGGUCACCAGGAUCUUUGAGAUCUAUGACUCUCAAUACUCUGUUAUAUAUUGGGGGCAUAAAUAGACAGAAGAUCAGGGUCAAUAAAAAUGUAGGAAUCGACAGAAACUUCCGAGGAUGUAUCACCGAGCUCGAUAUAUCUGGCCAAAACAUCGAUAUUCUAAAAUCUAUUGUCGAUUCUUCGAAUAUCAGAGAUUGCGUUCUAAAAUAUUCAAAUCAAACCGAGCACCUGGUAAACGAAUCUUCGACAAUAUCCGCAACACCGACGACUACACACCAAACCACAUCAUUUAAUCCCUGCAGUCUUAAUCCAUGUGUUCAUGGAAUGUGUCAGACGACGCACGCUCUUGAUUAUUCUUGCAUAUGCGAAUACGGAUACGUGGGAAGAAAUUGCGAGAAUGUUCUAAAGCAGUGCGAAAUGCUAAGUCCAUGUAGAAAUGGAGGAACGUGUACAGAUCUUCACGGAGGGUUCAAAUGUGAUUGUCGGCUGGGAUUCAACGGAGUUAGAUGUGAAAUUUCGGUGGACAUAUCUUAUGACGUCGCAUUUCACGGAGAUGGUUGGCUCGAACUCGACCGUUCCGUAAUGGUGCAUGAGGAGGAAAAAGAGCUCAUAGGAUUCGAAAUUUCAACAAACAAAAGCAAUGGUGUAAUAAUGUGGCAUGGACAGACGCCUGCCGAACUAAGUCCUAACGAUUACAUAUCCUUAGCUGUAGUCGAUGGAUACGUGGAAUACCAAUAUAAUCUCGGAUCUGGACCUGCAGUGAUUAGAGUAACGGCGCAAAAAGUUGACGACGGAGAACGACAUAGAAUUGUAUUAAAACGUCAAGGUAGCGAAGGCAGUAUCGAACUGAACGGAGAGCACACUGAAAGCGGAGCAAGUGACGGCUUGCAGCAAAUGCUCAAUGCAAGGGGUAGCGUCUACCUCGGAGGUGUCCCAGAUUAUGCUAUGACUUUUGAAAGAUAUCAAGACGGCUUUUCCGGCUGUAUUUACACCCUUGAAGUUCAGGAUUCCGGAGCGAUAGACAUUGGAGAAAAAGCGAUCAGGGGAAAGAAUGUAUAUCCCUGCACUAGAACCAGAUGGAUUCCAUCCUCGUUGGUAUUUACUGACGCAGAUGCCGAUAUAUUUGAUGCCUUCGUGCCACCACCCCCCGUGAACAUUAUCCACCCCAAGCCAUCCCUAAAUGUAGCUCCAACUAAUUUUCGGAAUCUCUCGUUACUAAUAUUAGUCCCAAAUCUCGUUAUCUUCACAAUGGAUGUAAGAUUGCAUAAAGUUAUUUUUGCAGUACUUCGAACUGCAAUUGUUACUCUAAUAGGUACUAUAUCUAAUAAAAUAGAAUAUCAGAGUGAUUAAUUUCAACUCUCUGUCUAAGUUACACAUUUUUCGAAAUUCUAAUAAUGGUACCUGGACUGUUAACGUGUUUUGUAGUACGUUGGUCAUAUUUAGUGGUGCGAAAAAUAUGUAUCUUACACAAAAUCCUAAUAUUGUCAAUAACUAAACAAAUUUCUACAUAAUUUAAUGCUUUACUCAUGGGUGGAGCUGCAAGAUUAGACUGAGUGACGGAAUCGACGGCCCUCCGAUAAGAGGUGAUGGUGGUCAUGUCCAAAGAUAAAUGAAAGUAAGUCUCCAUGCUUGAGUGCCAAAGAAUCCAAACUCCGGAUUGAAAUAUCAUCUACAAGUUCAGCAUUGGUGAAAAUUCGAAAUUCAUUUCAAGGUGUAGAUGUGAGACUACUCAACAUUUUCGUAUGUGACGAAAUAGAUCUCGAGAACGACAAAUUUUCGGAAUCUACGAAGCGAUGUUACAAACAAUGAAUUGAAUAUUCAGAUUCUUUGGCUCUCAAAUAGAGAAGAUAUUAAUCUUAAGGAAUAAAUAGGAUUGAAGGCUUUAUCUGCAUACAUGGAUGUAUGUAGCUAUAAUAAUACUAUAGCAUUGUAAUUUUGUAUUGUUAUAGUCUUUUUGUACAACCUUAUUUAAAGCGUGAUAAUCCUAUUCUACUAAUGAUAUUAUUUCUCGUUCAAUUCAAAAUGCAUAACCAGUACACAGUUGAAUGACUAACGCUCACGAAUAUUUCACUGACCAAAUUUAAUCUAAAAUCGUGCCACACUGUGCCACUGAAAAUAAUUCGAAAAUUAAUUCAUAAAUGAAGUUUUACAAUGAUUGAACGAAAGACAUGUUCUAUUCAUACUAGCCUAUAGUGUAUGCCAUUGAUAUCAAGGGUUCAUUUCAAUGGUCGGUGCUUGUAUACGUCAUUUGAUAGUCAAUUUGUUUGAUUACUUGCUUAGAAACGCAUAUUGUGGUUAGCGCUCACUCCCCAACCCACAUUUGUACAAGUGAAUAAUACAUACAUGUAAUACCUUCUAUUGUAUGUACGUGAAGUUGAUCAAACAUGGGACACUGUAGAUUAUAUUGGUAUAGAAUUCUGAUUAUCAAAAAUCGUAGUACGACAAAAAAUAAUUUCAAUAGUGAUGCUUGGUGCUACGUAUGCAAAUUUGUAUGAUCAUCGUUGAAUAGUAAUCUUAUGAAUGUACUAAGGAAAGAUCGCACUGAUAUAUUACCUGCCAUAAGUUCGCGAUAUACAGCAGCACAUAGUGAAUAGUUAUAUUUUUUCACUUAUUAGACAGCUAGCUACGAUAAAUCGCUUGAUUGUUCCAUGAAAACAAUGGGCGAUAUGUUAUCCAUAUAAUACAUAUUAUGCGUAUGCUUCGAAAUAGAAAACAUGGCUAUAGGCUUCUUAUUCUACGAUAAUUAUUUGCAGAAAUUCAUGAAUAUUUCAAAUAUAAACUUAUUCUACAACCCGAAACUGUGUAAGUAACCAACACUUCAGCUGCCUUUAAAGAACUAAAUUGGUUCAAAGAUCCGUGAUAAGUUCGCAGUCUAUUUUCAUGCAAAGAAAUAGAUAAAAAAAGUGAUUUAUUAUAGUCAGGUGAUAACUCUCAAGUUAACUCAAUUCUUGAAAUAUUUUUUAUUCAAACGAAUAUCAUCUGACCAAAUGUACAAUUAUUUAUAGCAGUUACGUACAUUUUUAGAAAAGACAACAGCAAUGUGAAGAUCGAAUUAAAUAAUGAAUAAUUUCCGGAUGAACGUGCAAAUAAAAUAGAAACAUAUAAUUGUUCCAUGGGUAUUUCGUAGUUGUGAGAGUGAAUCUCGUAUUAUCUUAAAAAAAUAAAAAUCGUCUAUCCAA